rnacentral:rRNA from 1 species
AACGAACGCUGGCGGCAUGCCUAACACAUGCAAGUCGAACGAGACCUUCGGGUCUAUUGGCGCACGGGUGCGUAACGCGUGGGAACCUGCCCUUAGGUUCGGAAUAACUCCCCGAAAGGGGUGCUAAUACCGGAUAAUGUCUUCGGACCAAAGAUUUAUCGCCUUUGGAUGGGCCCGCGUUGGAUUAGCUAGUUGGUAGGGUAAAAGCCUACCAAGGCGACGAUCCAUAGCUGGUCUGAGAGGAUGAUCAGCCACACUGGGAAUGAGACACGGCCCAGACUCCUACGGGAGGCAGCAGUGGGGAAUAUUGGACAAUGGGCGAAAGCCUGAUCCAGCAAUGCCGCGUGAGUGAUGAAGGCCUUAGGGUUGUAAAGCUCUUUUACCCGGGAUGAUAAUGACAGUACCGGGAGAAUAAGCUCCGGCUAACUCCGUG